UGUCAUCGUCCUCUGCAGCCUUACCCCUCGUUUGUGCCGUGGUCGCCGCCUGCUAGAGAUGCGUGUGGAGCUCAGCCUUGCCCCUCGCUUGCUCCGGCCGCCACCGCUCCGCCGGCCUGC
rnacentral:pre_miRNA from 1 species